CACGUUCAAAAUUUGUUUAAAACUAUCAAAAUAAAAUCGACGUUGAUUCCACGUCUAUAUUACGAGUUCGACCGUUCGUAUUGCAUGCAUACGAACAUGCGUAUUUUGAGAACUCAAAUACGCAUGCGUAACUUUAAUAGAUAUUUAUAAGGCCUUCUGUUGCUUUUAAUGUUUUAAAUUUGACAAUUGAAUAAUAUCACAUGGCUUGCCUUGUGAUGCAGUUAGUUAGAUAAAUAUUAAAGAGAUAUUUUUUUUAUGACGGUAAUAUUUCAUGGGUGUGGAUUACAAGUAGACUUUGCUUGAAUUUUUUUUACAGUUUUUUAAGAACCACUACUGUUCUUAUGCAAGAGAAAAUAUAAUCUAACCAAAAAUAACCAACAGAAUAAUAAGCAAGUACCUACUCGUAUAACGCAAAAAAAGCAAAAGAAAACAACUUUUAUGCAUACUCCGCAUACUAUAGUUCAAGGAUCAGCAAUGGCAAAAUUUUCCUGAGGAAAGAGAGUAUUUUAAUAUAGUGCAAAGCCAAGGUGGCGUGUGUGUUUUUUCACAUAAAAGAAAAAAGGUUGUUUAACCAGACACACCAGCAUUUGUUUCCCUUAUAAGAAAAGCUACUUAAAAAGACUCCUUAUCGAAUGGAAAGUCUCCCAUUACUGAGGAAGUGAGCGUCAUGUCAAUUAAAGCGACUGCUACAAUUGCCGAAAUAGGAAAAAGAAUAAUGACUUUAUUCAAAUAUGCACUUGACAGAUCGAAUGGUGGUGGUCGGUACAAAACAACAUUCAUACUUUUUCCUAAUAGUUCUGAAACUAUUGUUAAAUAAAACUUUUUUUUUU